GUGAGGAAUAUUGGACAAUGGGCGCAAGCCUGAUCCAGCCAUGCCGCGUGCAGGAAGACGCUUCUAUGGUGUGUAAACUGCUUUUGUACGGGAAGAAACACUCCCUCGUGAGGGAGCUUGACGGUACCGUAAGAAUAAGGAUCGGCUAACUCCGUGCCAGCAGCCGCGGUCAUACGGAGGAUCCAAGCGUUAUCCGGAAUCAUUGGGUUUAAAGGGUCCGUAGGCGGUUUACUAAGUCAGUGGUGAAAGCCCAUCGCUCAACGAUGGAACGGCCAUUGAUACUGUUAGACUUGAAUUACAAGGAAGUAACUAGAAUAUGUAGUGUAGCGGUGAAAUGCUUAGAUAUUACAUGGAAUACCAAUUGCGAAGGCAGGUUACUACUUGUGGAUUGACGCUGAUGGACGAAAGCGUGGGGAGCGAACAGGAUUAGAUACCCCUGUAGUCC
rnacentral:rRNA from 1 species